AAAAAUGCCCAGUUGGAGAAGCCUGGCAAGUCUAGAAACUUGUUCACAGCUUGGCCAACUGUAAACUGGAUUUUGGUUUUGUUUGUUAGAGGUGGAAAUAACAUGACUACUAUCAAAAACGAAUUAUUCUUGGAAGCUUGGGAGUUUGUAAACCUAGCUACUUGAGAAGCCGAGUCCUGACAAUCUUGGAUAAAAAGAGACCCGAGGCAACGCAGACAAAAAACAUUUUUUAAUAAGGGUUACAAAAUUUUUCAUUCGCUUACCA
rnacentral:lncRNA from 1 species